rnacentral:ncRNA from 1 species
AGAGGAAGCCGGUGCGAGUCCGGCGCGGUCCCGCCACUGUCACCGGAGAAAGCGCUCCCCCAGUACGAGCCACGGCCCACCCAGGGUGGUCCCGGCCCGCGGGGAGCCGCCGAUCCGGAAGCCAGGAGACUC